AUUGAACGCUGGCGGCAUGCUUUACACAUGCAAGUCGAGCGGGGUGAUGGUGCUUGCACUAUCACUUAGCGGCGGACGGGUGAGUAAUGCUUAGGAAUCUGCCUAUUAGUGGGGGACAACAUCUCGAAAGGGAUGCUAAUACCGCAUACGUCCUACGGGAGAAAGCAGGGGAUCACUUGUGACCUUGCGCUAAUAGAUGAGCCUAAGUCGGAUUAGCUAGUUGGUGGGGUAAAGGCCUACCAAGGCGACGAUCUGUAGCGGGUCUGAGAGGAUGAUCCGCCACACUGGGACUGGGACACGGCCCAGACUCCUACGGGAGGCAGCAGUGGGGAAUAUUGGACAAUGGGGGGAACCCUGAUCCAGCCAUGCCGCGUGUGUGAAGAAGGCCUUAUGGUUGUAAAGCACUUUAAGCGAGGAGGAGGCUCUUUUGGUUAAUACCCAAGAUGAGUGGACGUUACUCGCAGAAUAAGCACUGGCUAACUCUGUGCCAGCCGCCGCGGUAA
rnacentral:rRNA from 1 species